rnacentral:rRNA from 1 species
CCUACGCGUGGCAGCAGUGGGGAAUAUUGGGCAAUGGAGGCACCUCUGACCCAGCAACGCCGCGUGAAUGAUGAAGGUCUUCGGAUUGUAAAGUUCUGUGAUGGGGGAUGAACACAAUGACGGUACCCCAAUAGCAAGCCACGGCUAACUACGUGCCAGCAGCCGCGGUAAUACGUAGGUGGCAAGCAUUAUCCGGAAUGACUGGGCGUAAAGGUUGCGUAGGUGGUUUAGUAAGUUAGCGGUGUAAUUCCGGGGCUCAACCUCGGCGCUACCGCCAAAACUAUUAGACUGGAGUGCAGGAGAGGUAAGUGGAAUGCCUAGUGUAGCGGUGGAAUGCGUAGAUAUUAGGAGGAACAUCAGGGGCGAAGGCGACUUACUGGACUGGAACUGACACUGAGGCACGAAAGCGUGGGGAGCAAACAGGAUUAGAUACCCUUGUAGUC